GUGGGGAAUUUUGGACAAUGGGCGCAAGCCUGAUCCAGCAAUGCCGCGUGCAGGAAGAAGGCCUUCGGGUUGUAAACUGCUUUUGUACGGAACGAAACGGUCCUGGUUAAUACCUGGGGCUAAUGACGGUACCGUAAGAAUAAGCACCGGCUAACUACGUGCCAGCAGCCGCGGUAAUACGUAGGGUGCGAGCGUUAAUCGGAAUUACUGGGCGUAAAGCGUGCGCAGGCGGUGCUGUAAGACAGGCGUGAAAUCCCCGGGCUCAACCUGGGAAUUGCGCUUGUGACUGCAGUGCUGGAGUGCGGCAGAGGGGGAUAGAAUUCCGCGUGUAGCAGGGAAAUGCGUAGAUAUGCGGAGGAACACCGAUGGCGAAGGCAAUCCCCUGGGCCUGCACUGACGCUCAUGCACGAAAGCGUGGGGAGCAAACAGGAUUAGAUACCCCGGUAGUCC
rnacentral:rRNA from 1 species